GGAUGAACGCUGGCGGCGUGCCUAAUACAUGCAAGUCGAGCGAACAGAUGAGGAGCUUGCUCCUCUGACGUUAGCGGCGGACGGGUGAGUAACACGUGGAUAACCUACCUAUAAGACUGGGAUAACUUCGGGAAACCGGAGCUAAUACCGGAUAAUAUAUUGAACCGCAUGGUUCAAUAGUGAAAGACGGUUUUGCUGUCACUUAUAGAUGGAUCCGCGCCGCAUUAGCUAGUUGGUAAGGUAACGGCUUACCAAGGCAACGAUGCGUAGCCGACCUGAGAGGGUGAUCGGCCACACUGGAACUGAGACACGGUCCAGACUCCUACGGGAGGCAGCAGUAGGGAAUCUUCCGCAAUGGGCGAAAGCUUGACGGAGCAACGCCGCGUGAGUGAUGAAGGUCUUCGGAUCGUAAAACUCUGUUAUUAGGGAAGAACAAAUGUGUAAGUAACUAUGCACGUCUUGACGGUACCUAAUCAGAAAGCCACGGCUAACUACGUG
rnacentral:rRNA from 1 species